rnacentral:rRNA from 1 species
GGUUAAGCGACUAAGCGUACACGGUGGAUGCCCUGGCAGUCAGAGGCGAUGAAGGACGUGCUAAUCUGCGAAAAGCGUCGGUAAGGUGAUAUGAACCGUUAUAACCGGCGAUGUCCGAAUGGGGAAACCCAGUGUGAUUCGUCACACUAUCGUUAACUGAAUACAUAGGUUAACGAGGCGAACCGGGGGAACUGAAACAUCUAAGUACCCCGAGGAAAAGAAAUCAACCGAGAUUCCCCCAGUAGCGGCGAGCGAACGGGGAGCAGCCCAGAGUCUGAAUCAGCUUGUGUGUUAGUGGAACGGUCUGGAAAGUCCGACGGUACAGGGUGAUAGUCCCGUACACCAAAAUGCACAGGCUGUGAACUCGAAGAGUAGGGCGGGACACGUGGUAUCCUGUCUGAAUAUGGGGGGACCAUCCUCCAAGGCUAAAUACUCCUGACUGACCGAUAGUGAACCAGUACCGUGAGGGAAAGGCGAAAAGAACCCCGGCGAGGGGAGUGAAAAAGAACCUGAAACCGUGUACGUACAAGCAGUGGGAGCACCUUCGGGUGUGACUGCGUACCUUUUGUAUAAUGGGUCAGCGACUUAUAUUCUGUAGCAAGGUUAACCGUAUAGGGGAGCCGCAGGGAAACCGAGUCUUAACUGGGCGUUAAGUUGCAGGGUAUAGACCCGAAACCCGGUGAUCUAGCCAUGGGCAGGUUGAAGGUUGGGUAACACUAACUGGAGGACCGAACCGACUAAUGUUGAAAAAUUAGCGGAUGACUUGUGGCUGGGGGUGAAAGGCCAAUCAAACCGGGAGAUAGCUGGUUCUCCCCGAAAGCUAUUUAGGUAGCGCCUCGUGAACUCAUCUUCGGGGGUAGAGCACUGUUUCGGCUAGGGGGUCAUCCCGACUUACCAACCCGAUGCAAACUACGAAUACCGAAGAAUGUUAUCACGGGAGACACACGGCGGGUGCUAACGUCCGUCGUGAAGAGGGAAACAACCCAGACCGCCAGCUAAGGUCCCAAAGUCAUGGUUAAGUGGGAAACGAUGUGGGAAGGCACAGACAGCCAGGAUGUUGGCUUAGAAGCAGCCAUCAUUUAAAGAAAGCGUAAUAGCUCACUGGUCGAGUCGGCCUGCGCGGAAGAUGUAACGGGGCUAAACCAUGCACCGAAGCUGCGGCAGCGACACUAUGUGUUGUUGGGUAGGGGAGCGUUCUGUAAGCCUGCGAAGGUGUGCUGUGAGGCAUGCUGGAGGUAUCAGAAGUGCGAAUGCUGACAUAAGUAACGAUAAAGCGGGUGAAAAGCCCGCUCGCCGGAAGACCAAGGGUUCCUGUCCAACGUUAAUCGGGGCAGGGUGAGUCGACCCCUAAGGCGAGGCCGAAAGGCGUAGUCGAUGGGAAACAGGUUAAUAUUCCUGUACUUGGUGUUACUGCGAAGGGGGGACGGAGAAGGCUAUGUUAGCCGGGCGACGGUUGUCCCGGUUUAAGCAUGUAGGCUGGUUAUCCAGGCAAAUCCGGAUAAUCAAGGCUGAGGUGUGAUGACGAGGCACUACGGUGCUGAAGUAACAAAUGCCCUGCUUCCAGGAAAAGCCUCUAAGCAUCAGGUAACAUCAAAUCGUACCCCAAACCGACACAGGUGGUCAGGUAGAGAAUACCAAGGCGCUUGAGAGAACUCGGGUGAAGGAACUAGGCAAAAUGGUGCCGUAACUUCGGGAGAAGGCACGCUGGUGUGUAGGUGAAGCCCCUGCGGGUGGAGCUGAGACCAGUCGAAGAUACCAGCUGGCUGCAACUGUUUAUUAAAAACACAGCACUGUGCAAACACGAAAGUGGACGUAUACGGUGUGACGCCUGCCCGGUGCCGGAAGGUUAAUUGAUGGGGUUAUCCGUAAGGAGAAGCUCUUGAUCGAAGCCCCGGUAAACGGCGGCCGUAACUAUAACGGUCCUAAGGUAGCGAAAUUCCUUGUCGGGUAAGUUCCGACCUGCACGAAUGGCGUAAUGAUGGCCAGGCUGUCUCCACCCGAGACUCAGUGAAAUUGAACUCGCUGUGAAGAUGCAGUGUACCCGCGGCAAGACGGAAAGACCCCGUGAACCUUUACUAUAGCUUGACACUGAACAUUGAGCCUUGAUGUGUAGGAUAGGUGGGAGGCUUUGAAGCGUGGACGCCAGUCUGCGUGGAGCCAACCUUGAAAUACCACCCUUUAAUGUUUGAUGUUCUAACGUUGGCCCCUUACCGGGGUUGCGGACAGUGUCUGGUGGGUAGUUUGACUGGGGCGGUCUCCUCCCAAAGCGUAACGGAGGAGCACGAAGGUUAGCUAAUCCUGGUCGGACAUCAGGAGGUUAGUGCAAUGGCAUAAGCUAGCUUGACUGCGAGCGUGACGGCGCGAGCAGGUGCGAAAGCAGGUCAUAGUGAUCCGGUGGUUCUGAAUGGAAGGGCCAUCGCUCAACGGAUAAAAGGUACUCCGGGGAUAACAGGCUGAUACCGCCCAAGAGUUCAUAUCGACGGCGGUGUUUGGCACCUCGAUGUCGGCUCAUCACAUCCUGGGGCUGAAGUAGGUCCCAAGGGUAUGGCUGUUCGCCAUUUAAAGUGGUACGCGAGCUGGGUUUAGAACGUCGUGAGACAGUUCGGUCCCUAUCUGCCGUGGGCGCUGGAGAAUUGAGGGGGGCUGCUCCUAGUACGAGAGGACCGGAGUGGACGCAUCACUGGUGUUCGGGUUGUCAUGCCAAUGGCACUGCCCGGUAGCUAAAUGCGGAAGAGAUAAGUGCUGAAAGCAUCUAAGCACGAAACUUGCCCCGAGAUGAGUUCUCCCUGAGACUUUAAGUCUCCUGAAGGAACGUUGAAGACGACGACGUUGAUAGGCCGGGUGUGUAAGCGCAGCGAUGCGUUGAGCUAACCGGUACUAAUGAACCGUGAGGCUUAACCUU